CAUCACGCCUUCCCCCUCCUCGCUCCCCCUUACACCGCCGCCAACCUCCCCUCGUGCCGCCGUAGCCCCCGAGCCGGUCCGCACCGCCGCCGUCGCGUCGUCGCGCCAUCACCACCCCGCCGCCAUGAUGUGUCCAAUGUUUGCCGCUGCGAUCAGGUUGGGGAAUUUGUGGUUAGGGUUUCGGAUAGCUUAAGAAGCUUGCGUCCUGCGCCCUCCCGAGCUCCAGCAGCUCUGCGGCCUCAACAUCCAAGAGUACCAGGGCGCGGAGAUACGGGACCAAUGUGCCCAGAGGCGCGGCGGCUGGGUCCGCGCAAGAGGUCAAGGACGCCUUGAAGAACGCAUUCCCCAGCGAGAAAGAGAAAGGAAAUUUAGCACAAUCAGAUAUUGGUGAGACGCACUGAAUUGUGUACAUGGAGAGUACGUCAUUUAUUUCUGGGGCUUUAUCUGUUGAGGCUGUGUACUAAAUGCCAUCACACUUACCCUAAUUAUCAGUAAGUCAGCUUCUUGGCAUUGCAUGUUUACACUACAAAAUCAGUGGCCCAAGCUAAUACGGUAAUACCCCUUCUUUCCCCCAGUGAUAUUGGUUACUUCUGUUAUAAGGUGAUUGCAUGACAUUGGACAUAGCCAAUUAACUUCUGUUUUACUCCUUUCUCAAAAGAAGUCCCCAUUUAUCUGCAAGCUAUUAACACUGCAAAGUGCCAAAGAUAUCAUGACAAUUACUGAUACACUGAAUUCUUAGGUCGCAGUGACACCAAUGCUUUGCUCCAAGCCCAGACAGCAACAUGAGCCCAGCCCCUUGACUAUUGUUAGUUUGACUCAUCGAGGAUCAUGAGAUUGCCAUGCCCAAGUUCUCAAGGUUAGACAGGGCCGGGAUUGAUCAAGGGUGAUAAGGAUUAGAUGUUCGCAUUGCGGUGGUUCUGGUGCACCACCAAUCAUCCCUGAAUUGUUGCUUUCAUCUGAAACCAAAUUCACUUUAAGAUUGUGGGACCUGCUAUCUCUGGUUGAGCUGUGUCCAGAAACUGAAGAUUCAUCCAUAUUAGAUUGUAAGGGCAUUGACUUUGUAUAUUUUGUAUGCGAUAACCUUGAGUUUUUUUUAGAUGUUUUCCAUGCAUAUUUGGUAUGCUAUAAAAUAUAUAUAUUUCAUGUGUGCAUGCACAUGCCUCAA